GGCUAACGCUGGCGGCGUGUCUUAGCCAUGCAAGUCGAGCGGACUUAUGGGGUAACUUAUAAGUCAGCGGCGGACGGCGGAGUAACACGUAGCUAACCUACCCUCUGGACGGGGAUAACCUACCGAAAGGUGGGCUAAUACCCGAUGUAGUCAUCCUGUAUAGGGGUGAUGAAAGGUGGGCUUCCCCUGUUUACAAGCUCAUGCUGGAGGAGGGGGCUGCGGCCUAUCAGGUAGUUGGUAGGGUAAUAGCCUACCAAGCCGAUGACGGGUAGCCGGCCUGAGAGGGUGACCGGCCCGAGGGGCACUGAGAUACGGGUCCCACUCCUACGGGAGGCAGCAGGCUAGAAAUUUGGGCAAUGGGGGAAACCCUGACCCAGUGACGCCGCGUGCAGGAAGGAGCCCUUCGGGGUGUAAACUGCUGUCGUGUAGGGAGAAGGGUACUAAGGUGAACAAUCUUAGUACUUGACGGUACUACAGGAGGAAGCCCAGGCUAACCUCGUG
rnacentral:rRNA from 1 species